rnacentral:rRNA from 1 species
GGGUUGUGAGGUUAAGCGACUAAGCGUACACGGUGGAUGCCCUGGCAGUCAGAGGCGAUGAAGGACGUGCUAAUCUGCGAUAAGCGUCGGUGAGGUGAUAUGAACCGUUAUAACCGGCGAUUUCCGAAUGGGGAAACCCAGUGUGUUUCGACACACUAUCAUUAACUGAAUCCAUAGGUUAAUGAGGCGAACCGGGGGAACUGAAACAUCUAAGUACCCCGAGGAAAAGAAAUCAACCGAGAUUCCCCCAGUAGCGGCGAGCGAACGGGGAGGAGCCCAGAGCCUGAAUCAGUGUGUGUGUUAGUGGAAGCGUCUGGAAAGGCGCGCGAUACAGGGUGACAGCCCCGUACACAAAAAUGCACAUGCUGUGAGCUCGAUGAGUAGGGCGGGACACGUGGUAUCCUGUCUGAAUAUGGGGGGACCAUCCUCCAAGGCUAAAUACUCCUGACUGACCGAUAGUGAACCAGUACCGUGAGGGAAAGGCGAAAAGAACCCCGGCGAGGGGAGUGAAAAAGAACCUGAAACCGUGUACGUACAAGCAGUGGGAGUCUCUUAAUGGGGUGACUGCGUACCUUUUGUAUAAUGGGUCAGCGACUUAUAUUCUGUAGCAAGGUUAACCGAAUAGGGGAGCCGAAGGGAAACCGAGUCUUAACUGGGCGUUAAGUUGCAGGGUAUAGACCCGAAACCCGGUGAUCUAGCCAUGGGCAGGUUGAAGGUUGGGUAACACUAACUGGAGGACCGAACCGACUAAUGUUGAAAAAUUAGCGGAUGACUUGUGGCUGGGGGUGAAAGGCCAAUCAAACCGGGAGAUAGCUGGUUCUCCCCGAAAGCUAUUUAGGUAGCGCCUCGUGAAUUCAUCUCCGGGGGUAGAGCACUGUUUCGGCAAGGGGGUCAUCCCGACUUACCAACCCGAUGCAAACUGCGAAUACCGGAGAAUGUUAUCACGGGAGACACACGGCGGGUGCUAACGUCCGUCGUGAAGAGGGAAACAACCCAGACCGCCAGCUAAGGUCCCAAAGUCAUGGUUAAGUGGGAAACGAUGUGGGAAGGCCCAGACAGCCAGGAUGUUGGCUUAGAAGCAGCCAUCAUUUAAAGAAAGCGUAAUAGCUCACUGGUCGAGUCGGCCUGCGCGGAAGAUGUAACGGGGCUAAACCAUGCACCGAAGCUGCGGCAGCGACACUAUGUGUUGUUGGGUAGGGGAGCGUUCUGUAAGCCUGUGAAGGUGGCCUGUGAGGGUUGCUGGAGGUAUCAGAAGUGCGAAUGCUGACAUAAGUAACGAUAAAGCGGGUGAAAAGCCCGCUCGCCGGAAGACCAAGGGUUCCUGUCCAACGUUAAUCGGGGCAGGGUGAGUCGACCCCUAAGGCGAGGCCGAAAGGCGUAGUCGAUGGGAAACAGGUUAAUAUUCCUGUACUUGGUGUUACUGCGAAGGGGGGACGGAGAAGGCUAUGUUGGCCGGGCGACGGUUGUCCCGGUUUAAGCGUGUAGGCUGGUUUUCCAGGCAAAUCCGGAAAACCAAGGCUGAGGCGUGAUGACGAGGCACUACGGUGCUGAAGCGACAAAUGCCCUGCUUCCAGGAAAAGCCUCUAAGCAUCAGGUAACAUCAAAUCGUACCCCAAACCGACACAGGUGGUCAGGUAGAGAAUACCAAGGCGCUUGAGAGAACUCGGGUGAAGGAACUAGGCAAAAUGGUGCCGUAACUUCGGGAGAAGGCACGCUGAUAUGUAGGUGAAGCGACUUGCUCGUGGAGCUGAAAUCAGUCGAAGAUACCAGCUGGCUGCAACUGUUUAUUAAAAACACAGCACUGUGCAAACACGAAAGUGGACGUAUACGGUGUGACGCCUGCCCGGUGCCGGAAGGUUAAUUGAUGGGGUUAGCGGUAACGCGAAGCUCUUGAUCGAAGCCCCGGUAAACGGCGGCCGUAACUAUAACGGUCCUAAGGUAGCGAAAUUCCUUGUCGGGUAAGUUCCGACCUGCACGAAUGGCGUAAUGAUGGCCAGGCUGUCUCCACCCGAGACUCAGUGAAAUUGAACUCGCUGUGAAGAUGCAGUGUACCCGCGGCAAGACGGAAAGACCCCGUGAACCUUUACUAUAGCUUGACACUGAACAUUGAGCCUUGAUGUGUAGGAUAGGUGGGAGGCUUUGAAGUGUGGACGCCAGUCUGCAUGGAGCCGACCUUGAAAUACCACCCUUUAAUGUUUGAUGUUCUAACGUUGGCCCGUAAUCCGGGUUGCGGACAGUGUCUGGUGGGUAGUUUGACUGGGGCGGUCUCCUCCUAAAGAGUAACGGAGGAGCACGAAGGUUGGCUAAUCCUGGUCGGACAUCAGGAGGUUAGUGCAAUGGCAUAAGCCAGCUUGACUGCGAGCGUGACGGCGCGAGCAGGUGCGAAAGCAGGUCAUAGUGAUCCGGUGGUUCUGAAUGGAAGGGCCAUCGCUCAACGGAUAAAAGGUACUCCGGGGAUAACAGGCUGAUACCGCCCAAGAGUUCAUAUCGACGGCGGUGUUUGGCACCUCGAUGUCGGCUCAUCACAUCCUGGGGCUGAAGUAGGUCCCAAGGGUAUGGCUGUUCGCCAUUUAAAGUGGUACGCGAGCUGGGUUUAGAACGUCGUGAGACAGUUCGGUCCCUAUCUGCCGUGGGCGCUGGAGAACUGAGGGGGGCUGCUCCUAGUACGAGAGGACCGGAGUGGACGCAUCACUGGUGUUCGGGUUGUCAUGCCAAUGGCACUGCCCGGUAGCUAAAUGCGGAAGAGAUAAGUGCUGAAAGCAUCUAAGCACGAAACUUGCCCCGAGAUGAGUUCUCCCUGACUCCUUGAGAGUCCUGAAGGAACGUUGAAGACGACGACGUUGAUAGGCCGGGUGUGUAAGCGCAGCGAUGCGUUGAGCUAACCGGUACUAAUGAACCGUGAGGCUUAACCUUACAACGCCGAAG